rnacentral:rRNA from 1 species
UAGGGAAUCUUCGGCAAUGGACGAAAGUCUGACCGAGCAACGCCGCGUGAGUGAAGAAGGUUUUCGGAUCGUAAAACUCUGUUGUUAGAGAAGAACAAGGACGUUAGUAACUGAACGUCCCCUGACGGUAUCUAACCAGAAAGCCACGGCUAACUACGUGCCAGCAGCCGCGGUAAUACGUAGGUGGCAAGCGUUGUCCGGAUUUAUUGGGCGUAAAGCGAGCGCAGGCGGUUUCUUAAGUCUGAUGUGAAAGCCCCCGGCUCAACCGGGGAGGGUCAUUGGAAACUGGGAGGCUUGAGUGCAGAAGAGGGGAGUGGAAUUCCAUGUGUAGCGGUGAAAUGCGUAGAUAUAUGGAGGAACACCAGUGGCGAAGGCGGCUCUCUGGUCUGUAACUGACGCUGAGGCUCGAAAGCGGGGGGAGCAAACAGG